CAAAGUCCCAUUUCGACGUAUCCAUCUUUCCGGGGAUGAACCACAUUUCGACACUUAUGAUACCAGUGGUCCUCAGAGUGUAAACCCGGGUGUUGGUAUGCCUAUUAGCUUUCUCCCUUGUACCUUUUGAUGAUAACAUCUUAACCAAGGAUGAAUACAGAUUUUUCAGUAAUAUUUUAGAUAAAUGUUACUGGUAAGUGGUAUCUACUUAAUUUGUUGAUUUUCUUUGAUAUUUUCAAUACCUCAUUCACUUAAUCAAAAAGGUUAAAUGAAUUAUAUGUUAUUCCCAUUGAUAGAUCAGCUUAUUUUGGUCAUUCUCAGCUGUCUAUUUGCAAUUGUUGGAAGUUGAAUUAUCUGUUCUUGAUUUUUCAUCCAUAUUUCUUCAUUUUUUCUUCUUUUAAAAUAAUCCGGAGAAUUAUUAGCUCUUAAAAGAUCCAUAUAGGUGAUAUCAACUAAUUGGAAUUAAGUUUUACUCAUGUAUGUAUAUGUACUUUAAGUCCAAUAUUCGCCUUAGUCUUGUUAGGGAUUUAUAUGCGAGUGGAAAAUAUAAAAUAAACUCCUAGUGCUGUAGAAUUUAAUCCUUUUAAACAUUGGAAAAUUAGUUUAAAUGGGGGACGUAGAUAGUGAAGAUUCAUGUAGUCAACCCAAACUAAUAUGAGAUUGAUGGGUAGUAGUUGUUCUUUUGUAUUAUUAGCUCUCCACAUUUUUUUUUCUUUUCACCUGUUCGCGUCUUGUAUAUUCUUUUCACUCUUCUCAAGACAACCUUUUGAGUGAAAGGCUUUUGAACUUUAAGUCAAUGAAACAUUAAGCUAAAUGUCUUGCUUUGUGAUUUUUAUGUUACGAUUUAGGGCAUAAUCUUUUUGUAUACAUAAUGAUUAUGCAUCUAAAUAGGACUUCCUAAGCUGCGCAAGGAGUGGAUUAACAGGAGGGAGAAGUUAGGAGGACCAAGGUACACUCAAAUGUUCUAUGCUAAGCAGGGAAUCAUAACUGAGGAAAUGGCAUACUGCGCUGCCCGAGAAAAAAUGGAUCCAGAGUUUGUGAGGUCAGAAGUUGCUCGGGGCCGUGCGAUCAUCCCUUCAAACAAGAAGCACCCCGAGUUGGA
rnacentral:lncRNA from 1 species